UUGCUCUGCCCAGAACUUCCAGUAUUAUGUUGAAUAGCAGUGGUGAGAGAGGGCAUCCUUGUCUUGUCCCUUUUCAAGGGAAUGCUUCCAGCUUUUGCCCAUUCAAUACAAUGUUGGCUAUGGGCUUGUCAUAGAUGGCUCUUAUUAUUUUGAGGAUCCAGCCAACAUGUAACAGUGGUCACCAGGCACCACUAAAUUAGGAGAGGCUGUGUCGAAAGAGAAUGGCUCAGCCAGGCCAAGCUGUUCCAGCAACCCCAGCUAAAGCACAUGGCACAUGUAAAGCCAUUGAGAGUGAUCCAGCUCAGCUCCCAGCUGAAGGCAGCUACACACAUGACCCUGGCCAACCCCAUAUGGAGAAGAACCACCCAGCUGAGCCUUGCCAGCCCAUGGACUCAUGAAAAGGCUCCAGGGCCACCGACCAAGCCUAAGAAGACCUGGAACAGGAGGCCAGAACCAGUCCUACUCUGCACAUCAGCACCACCAGUCUCUCUUGCUCUGUCUCUUGGUCCUUUUUUCCUGGUGCUGGUGGGUGGUAUUGGAUCUGUCAUUUCUCUCCUUGGAGGCAAGUAUCUGAGACUCAAGUGUGCCCACUGAGAAGAUAAGGAACCAGGCAGACUGUGGGAGUUGCCCUGGUUCUGGGCUCUACACUGACUCUGGCCUGGGCCUGACAAAAGGAGUUUUCUACUGCACUGGUUUUGCUCGGUUGAGAUCUGCACUAGGGUUUGCUCUUCUUUGCUUCGUCUACAUGUAUCAGAUGAGGUCAUCAGGAUGGUGUCCUCAGAGGGGAUUAGUGCCUUUAUAAUAAGAAAAACUGGAGGAUUGGAGCUCUCUCUCUCUCUCUCUGUCUCCCUCUCCCUCUCCCUCUUCCUCUCCCUGUCUCUCUCCACCUCUCUCUUUCUCUACUAUGUGAAGACACAGCAAGAAGACAGCUGCCUGCAAGCCAGGAAGAGAGCCCUCACCAGGAACGAAAUAGCCUAGCACCUUGAUUUUGGACUUCCCAGGCUCCAGUAUGCCUCCCAAGAGGAGAAAGAGUCGCAGAAUUUCUCCAUGAAGGUUACAUUCUUGGAAGGCCUGGGCUUUUCUGAGCCAGUGCUACUGCAAUAACAUUUACCACAUCAAUUUUGGAAAGGAAGAAGCACAGGAAGCUGGUCCAGGCAGAAGGCAGAAAACUUGGGAGCUUCUCUGAUUUAAUCUUUUCUUCUUUAUUUUUAAAAAUCCACUUUGCAAAGAUAUAUGGUCUCCAAGUUUCUGAAAAGGGAAGCAGCAAAGAAACUCCUUCUGCUGUGAAUGAAAAGAAUUACAUAAACCACAGUAAAUUUAGUAUGAAAUUACAUUGCCAGCCCCAGAGGAGAAAGAUGCAUUUCCAUCAUACAUUAGCCAUGCUCAAGGAGCCAUUAUCCUGAGUUCCCUGUCUGCCUGCACUUGAAGGGACAUGGUGGCAUGCAGGUCAGGCCCUUCUCAGAGGAUGGAAGCUGCUGGAAGACAUUAAUUAUUUGACCUUGUUUAAAGCAUUGAUUUUACAGAAUUUCUUCCUUGUAUUUAUACUUGUCUUUUCUUUACUUUUUAAACUGGGACUUGGGCUCCUGCUGAUUCUUAGGCUCCAUUAGGUCAGAAUUUCA
rnacentral:lncRNA from 1 species